UACACAUAUAUCUUCAAUUUAUUGUUAUUUAUGUAUUUAUUUAUUUUAUUAUUGCAAUAACUAGAAAUUUACGAGUAACCUUUAGAAAAUGUAUUUAAAGAUGGCAAUAAUUUUGUUACGUAGAACGGAUCGCAUUGUUUUGGCAACAGCAACAGAGAACUUGUAUCAACAAUUCAAAAGUUUCAACCGCUUUUUCACUUCUCUGUUUCUGUUUGUUUGAGCAUAUAAAUAUUUAUUAAAACAACGACUGGCUUUGUGACUUGGACCUGUACCGAUCCCGUAUACCUACUUAAGACCUACGCUUUCCUGAAGGACUGUGACGUUUUGUGUUUUGGCUUUGAUACGAAUUUUCAAUAUCGAAAGUGACAAUGGAGAAUAUAGAGAGAGUUCUAACUUCAAUAGAAAACAUUGAAACGUUAGGAACUGCAGCCGAUAUGAAUCCCCGUAUGCCUAAGCUAUAUGUUCGGAACGAAUACAACCAAAAUCCUUUCGAGCUGUACAGUGAGAAUGAAUUUAAAAGAAGGUACCGUUUUUUUAAACACACGGUACUAAAUGUGAUCCUGCCACUGAUAAUUACAAACUUACAACCUUUUAAUAACAGAGGAUUGCCAAUUCUACCGCAAUUGCAAAUACUUAUUGCAUUAAGGUUUUAUGCAACUGGAUGUUUUCAGAGAGGACUACGAUCAAAAUUGACAAAUACCAGCAACAUAAUUAUAGCUUGUGCUGUAUUACAUAAUAUAGGUAUACAGAGAGGGGAUGUUUAUGACGAUGGUGAUCUUACUGAUCAAACACCAGAAGUCGAACAACACAGAAACAAUGAAAGAUCUACUACAGGUCUAGCAUUCCGGCAAUCUGUGAUUGCACAAUUUAACUAGGUUGGUUUGGUAAUAAAGAAAAUUAAAACAAAAA